CAGCAGUAGCCACGGUAAUACAGAGGGUGCGAGCGUUAAUCGGAUUUACUGGGCGUAAAGCGUGCGUAGGCGGCUUUUUAAGUCGGAUGUGAAAUCCCUGAGCUUAACUUAGGAAUUGCAUUCGAUACUGGGAAGCUAGAGUAUGGGAGAGGAUGGUAGAAUUCCAGGUGUAGCGGUGAAAUGCGUAGAGAUCUGGAGGAAUACCGAUGGCGAAGGCAGCCAUCUGGCCUAAUACUGACGCUGAGGUACGAAAGCAUGGGGAGCAAACAGGAUUAGAUACCCCGGUAGUCCCUGUCUCUUAUAC
rnacentral:rRNA from 1 species